GACACUUUGGCCGAGUGGUUAAGGCGAUGCCCUGCUAUCAAUCUGAUUUGCUAUCAAGGCAUUGUGUUCGCACGCGCAGGUUCGAAUCCUGCAGGUGUCG
rnacentral:tRNA from 1 species